UCUUGAGAAUUCUGAAUUCUUUCACUCUUUCAUGUACUGCAAGUUCAGCUCUUUCCACCCUCCUCCCAAAGGCAGGUCUGGCUCUACUUUACACUGCAAUCUUCUGCAGUUCUUGCUUUUUCAACAUGUUACCAAUUGGGAGUUGUGGUGAUUAUGCAGGAAACUAGCAGAUAGUUGAAAAUAUCACAUUCAAGACAAGUAAGGUAACACCAACUUUUUCUCUAAGUGCUGCCAAGAAUUUCUGGUGACUCUCUGCAGACACGCUCAUAGAAAAUUUAAUAGGACUCUUGACCUGUUAGAACUUGCUAGGAUGGAUUAAAAAAAAAUCCUUUUUGUCCCAGAAGCUGUCACUAAUAAAAGCUGUUUUCAAAGAAAUACAAUUUUUUUUUUAAAGCAACAAAUCCAAGUUGUUCCUGACCUCCUUAAAACUCACCAUUGGGUUCACUCAUAAGUAUGAAAUAAAUAGGAAAUACUUAAGAAGACACAUUGGCAGAUAUUACUCUAAAUUCACAGAGAAAACUCUGAGGUAAUGCCAAAUAAAUUCUUAUGUAAUCAUUUAUUAAGCAUGUGGGAUUACUCAAACAUACCAGUUACCUAAUCUUUCAAGUGGAAAAAAUACUUCAUUGGUGAUGAAGUAGGGAAUGGGAAUAAGGGAUGAGCAAACCAUAGAAAAUAUUUUUAAAAUUCUAUUCAUGUACUCCAAAAAUCUGGGGCUAUCCUCAUCUCGAAACUUGCCUUAGUGGCUGCUAGUUUAGUUGCAUGAUUAUAAUGUAUUUUCCUUUCUGUUGCAUUUUUUUUUUUUAAUCAGAGCAUGAUUUCAUAUUUUUCUGCAUAAGCAGAAAAAUCCCAAGCCUCCCACAUUUAAAGUAGAUACUGGAGUAACCAUUUUAUUAUUGCAUCCACAUCAUCUCUGGUGUCUUAAUGCUAACUGGUAGGCAGGAUACUAUAGUGGUGAAGGGUUUGUAUUAACACAGGCUUGAUUUUGAAGCCCAAUCUCUGCCACUUACUAGCUACUUAACUGUGUGCAAAUUAUUUAAUCUAAGUUUCAUUUGCCUUGGCUGAAAUAUUGGGAUAUCUUGCUCAUAUAAACCAUUUCAUGUAAUGCGCAACACUUAAUAAGCACUCCAAUAAAUACUAGUUAGUAUUAUAAGAAUUCUUUUCAACAUGAUUUUCCUCAAAGAAAAAAUAUUUUGGUGACAAAAGGUCUGGGAGUGGAGUGAAUAACAGCCAUGGGACUUUUGGAAGCCCCUCUAAAUGGCUUCAUCACUGUCAUAAAAAAGUAGUCUGGUUUGAAACUAGGUGAGAGCCCAUACAGCCACCUCUGUAGAAAGGAGACAGGGCAAGAAGAUGCCACCCUGAGGAAGUCAGAGAGCAGUCUACACUGGGAAAUGCAAACUAAGUGGCUCAACUGUGCCCUCUGGAAAGUGUUAUUAGAAAAACACCACUAUGGACUGAUACACACACAUAUUGCUACUGCAAAGCAGGACAAAUAUUUGAAGGUAUUCUUGUUAUUACUAACAGAAAGUCCAUGAAACUUUCACUGUGCUUCCCAUCCUCCAGUAUCUAUUCACUUGCAAGUUAUAGAACCCACACACACAAAAAAACAAAUCCUUCUCUGUGCAUUUUAUAUCCCCUCCCCGCUACAUUGCCCUCUUAGUACCUGCACCUGAAAAUUAGUACUCAUUGUUGUAACAAGGGAUGGAAGUAGGAGGGAAUGGCAGGAACUAUAAAACAAAAUUGCAUUGGAUAAGCAGAAUGAAGGCUAUUCCCAUAAUAUUUAGAGAAAAAGUAAAGCAAUGCUUUGAAGAGAGACAGUAACUGAAGACUGAGAAGCAAUGCCAUAAUUCUCUCAAACCUGUUGUUUCUUCUAGUUUUCUGUUCAACAUCGUGCAGUUUCUAUCUUUUGAGAUGCUGCAGGGGAAAAAAAUGCUAUUAGAAAUUUAGGUCAUGAAACCAAACACUUGAGAAAAAAAGUUUUCUACAUUUUGAAUUUUAUAAAGCACUAUUUAUGUUCCUCCAGAAUAGAGCCGGAACAGCUCUAGCAAGUUGACUGAUCCCAUUGCCAAAGUGCAUAUUUAGGCAGGCCAGUUGUUCCAGAAGAAAUAUUCAUCUAAAAUGCCACCUGUACCUACAUUUUCUCUCAGUAGCACGUCAGACACAGAGACUUCUGCAUGUCCAAAAUUCCAUGGUUAAUGGCCCCUUUUCUCAAUUAUAAUAGAUGAUUUAGCUUUGACAAAAAGAUUAAAGGAUAUGCAAUUAUUUCUUACAUCAGUGACUUAAAACUCUCAUAUUUAGAAAUAAAUUAUGCAGCAAUUUGAUAUGAACCAUCCUGCAUAAAACAGCCUGUAGUCACCAAAUCUUUCAACUAGCCUGUUUACACCACUGAGCCCAUUAUCGGUCUUGUGGGUAACAAUCACAAACAUAAAUCUCCUCUCUACCCUUUUGUUUUACCAACAUUUUCUCAUUAGAUUAGAUGCUGAGUACAGUCACAUAAACCUCACAAGAAUCAUGACCUAUAGAUAAAAAGCUAUUUCUCGACCUAAAUGGACUAAGCCACAGAAUAAUUUAUGCACUAAUUCCUUCUCUUUGUACUUACCAAGUUGUUUUAAAUCUCCACAGGUCAUGGUCUUUCUAUAAAUAUUUUAUAUACUUCAAUAUACAUAAAUGUUCUUGCCCAGGCAUACUAAGACAAUUUCUAAAUAACAUCAAGUAGCUCCAAGACUGGCCUCUCCAGUGACCUGCUCACGCAGACCUUGUGUUUUUGCACAUUUGGAAGUGGCCUCAGCUGUUGGUACACUCAUCAUUAUAUCUCCCCAACAGUGUGUCAAGAUUUUCCAGCUGUCCUUUACUUCUCCACCAAUGCAUGCAUUUUUGCCAUUCUUUCAUAAUUGGUUGUGUGCACAAGUUCUAUCCCAAAUCCUACUGUGUCAAGGGAACUUAAUAAACUAUAAAAACUUUCUAAGAAAGUGACAGAAGAAAAAAAAAUGCCUGAUUUCUCAUGGGUCUUAGCAUUAUGUAGUCACAUGAUCUUAGAGAUGUAUUACUAUAUAGAAUGAGAGAUUUGUUUUAUUCUGGGAUCUAUUUCCAACUUAUAGUAAUAAUCAUUUAAAAUAGUUUGCUUUAGUAUUGGACAUUAGACUAAUGCUUGCAUUCAAGUUCAUUUAUCCAUUGACUUUGAAAAUCAUAUUUCUGGAAAUUUCUGAUGACUCGAUUAUAUAGGAGAACAUUUCCUUAUGUUUCUUUCUUGCUUUAGUCACCAUUUACCAUUAAUAUUUAAGAAACAUGUAUAUUUAAAAGCUUUCUGGGGAAACCCUUCAAAAAAUUCCUUUACAGUUUUUCAAUGCCUAUCCUUAGCCUCAAUUUUGUGUAAAAUCUUACCAAUGUGAAGAUACAGCGAUAGUUUUUCACAAGUUGAAAGACCCCAAGUUUAUUAUGUCAAGCAGUUCUUAUGUGGGAUCAUUAUGUGGGAUCUUAUGUGGGAUCAUUGUGAUACUAGCAAUCCUAAUAUCACAAAGCAACACCAAGAUUCAAAGAUGAGACUACACUGAAGUGUUAGCCUGCCAUGCAGUGGAAAGGGCAACUAUCUUUUCCAACAACCUAUCAAAUACUAUUUAAUAGUAGUGAUAAUGGUUAGUGAAGUUGGCUUUGCAAAGUCUUUACAGAAUCAAAACUGAACUCAAAUGGACAAUCUAUUUGUUUUUCCUAAGCUAGUCUAAUAAUCUUGGUUAGUAUGAUUUAGACAGCUUGGAAACAAAAACACAUGAAAAAUAAGAGUGAUUCCCAUAACACAUCAGUUUUUCUGCUGCUUUGAGUUUUGGAAAACAAAGUGAUACAAGUGCUAAAGCAAACAGGGUGCUAAAUUUGGGCUCUGGUAGUACGCAGACUCUCUCUCUUUGCACAGUCUAACUGGUCUAAACCAUGUCAAGUUAGUGCAGUAUGUUGGCUACAGAACUUUUGGGCACUGGUGUAGAUCUAAAGCAACUAUCUGGCUCAGAAUCUACUUGAACUUCCUAAACAUCUCUGGGCAGCAAGUCCAUUAUAAGCAUGUUCUACAGCACCCAGAUAUCAACCAUGGCCAAAGCAAAGCCACUUAAAUAGAACCAUGAGGUCCAUUUACUGGUGGCUUGGAAAGGAAGUGAUUGAAAUACUAGGGCUAUGCUUAUAUCUACAGCUAAGUUCAGAAAACUUAAAAAAAAAAAAAAAAAGGAAAGAAAAAUCCCUUAUACUUGAAUGGUCGAGUGUAGUUUUGAACUUUAGCUAACACAAUUAAGAAAAAGUUUGGUCCUUAUGCAUUCACAUCCUUGCUCAAUAAACAAACAAAAAACAAAUAUGAGUUUCUUCCUGUAGAACUAGUUUUUGUUCCUAAAAAUGGAGAUUCAAAUGUAUUUCUUAAUUCUACUUGCUGAGCUUUCUCCCGAUCACCAAAAUAUGCUUAUAAACACAAACUCUCCUUUCCAUUCCCUGCCUCCUUAGAUUCCCAACCUAGCUUAAAAAAAAAGUUGUUUCUUUUUAGGUCAGACGCUGAUUUAAGGACCUAAAUUAUACUUGCCCUUAAGACAACUAUAGAAUUGAGACAUGAACACCUUCGUUUUCCCAUAGUUAAAUGGACAUGAUAAUGCCUUUUCAUUUGUUUCUUUCAACAUCACAAAUACAAGAUUCACAUUUUAUUUUUCUGCCUCUUCUCCAGUAAGGUUGAAGUACAUGGAACCCAGUUAGGAUCUCCCCCUCUCCCAUCCAUAAUAAAGCCAGGAAGCUGGAUUUGAAGCAUUGUUUGUCCUUGCGGUCCUUGGAAGAACUCCUGCUCUUUAAAUUGACAGUGCAGCUGUUGAUCAAAAAAUUAUUCAGAAAGAUUAAUAUGUUCUCAAACUAAUAUUCUGUCAGACAUGUUGAUUGUAAAGACUUAUAAAAUACUUAUGUCUAAGUAAAAACAAUGCCUAUUUACAUCUGUAAGAAACUAACAAAAAUAAUUUAAUGUAGAAUGAAAAGCUCAACCUCGUUUCAACUCUGUACUAGAUGACAGAAGUGCCCUGUGAUGACCAAAUGCUUGGGCAAUGUAAGGUGACUGCCACCAUUGAGCCAAAAUACAAUCACAUGCAUCAGGGUCAGAGGCUGGCUCCUCAAAGCCAGCCAGCUUUUCUGGCUAGAGAUGGACACAGAAUGUUAGGUGCUUCUUCCAACACCCAGAUGAUAAGUGAGGAAGGGUGACAUUUGCAGCCAUACACCUUUCAGAAACAAACUAAAUCUGCAGUUUAUCCUUAAUUUAAGAAAAAGAAAGGAAUACAAUAGGAUUAAGGUACAUGAAAAAGAGCAGCUGUCAGAUCUGACUUCUACUAUUAGUUCUAAUUAACCUCGGGCAGGCCCCACAAGCCCUGUGAACAUGAAUGACUACCCUCACCUGUGAAAUGAGAAAAUAGGCUUGGUGAUGUCCAUGUGCUUCUGUUCUCAUAUCACUCAAUGGUCUCCAAACAUCUUUCAUUUAUGAAAUAAGUAUUUUAAAUGAUGUAGAUGUGGGUGGGGACCUAUCCUACUCCACUGUCAUAUCUUAAGAUCCACCACAUAUUUAGUUCAUAAUUAUUUAAAUAUGGUGAUAUUGAUGCUUUAAAAAUCCUUAGAAUUAGGCCUUGAUGAAAAUCUACACACAUCUAGUAAUCACUAAGACAAGACAAAAUUUAGGUCAUGAAAUGCCAACCAAUUCAAUAGUGUUUUGUUCAAGUUCAAUAAUGCAAUCUGAUACUGCUGAAAUUCAACUUUCUCUUAAAUAGAAACAUUUUUUAAAAAAUCCUAAGGCAGAUUUUUUUUUGUGGUUGUUAUUCAGUGACUACUUCAAAUUUACUAGAAAUGCCCCAAUACACAAAUAUCUGAUUAAACUGAAAACCACCUAUAAACUACAAUCUGUUAUGCUUUACUCAAAAUAAUUACGUGCCAUUCACAUCUUGAUUUGCCAAUUUUGAUAAUGGUGUGCAUGGCCAAAUUUAGAGUUACAAUGGACUUAUGUAACAGUAAAUACUGUAUCAACAGUUAACAUAAUCUGUGAUGCUUUUUUCUUUUUUAGAAAAACAUAUGGCAGACGCAUCUGGAGACAAAUUUUUCAAUAGGCUCCUCAUGGCAAUGGAGGAUGCUACAUAUCACAUACAGAAGUAAAGGCAAUAGCUGCAAAGCAUGCUCCCCAGCAUAUUUGUAACGGUGUAUUAUAUCCUUCCCAGAGGCUUCCCUAGAAAGCAGUUUUUUUUUUUUUUUUAAUCCACAAAUAAAUGACCAAGAGAUUUUAAAGAAUGCUGUGUUUUGGAGGUGAGAUAUGACAAUACCAACAAAUGCAGAAGGUAAAAUUUUGCAACUUUUCCACACAGGAUUUUCCAUUGUACUAUAAAUAAGCCUUCUCUCCAUACUUGUCCUUUAGGAACUCCAUUCCUAAAGCAGAGUUAUCUCAAGAAUCCCCUCUGUUGAUUAGAUAAAAAUGUGACAGAAACAAUUCUUAGGCACAUUUCACUUCUCUUUAAAACAAUUCUUUUAAAAGUUUAAGACAUUCUUAAGUAUUCACAAUUGUACAACAGAAACAACUUUUUAAUAGAACGUAUUAUUCUUGAAAUGGAUGUUAAAUUUGACCAAGGCUCUUAAAAGGAAUUUUGUAGCAUCCUACACUCUGAAUUCCCCAACUCAGUUUAAUCUUCAGACACCCACUUGUGCCAGGGUCAGUGAAACAGAAAAUUCUAUUUAUCAAAAAUAGUUUCCUAUUUAAAAUGAGCACCCUCUUUGAUACCACUUAUUAAAAGCUACUUAUGUCCCAUACAAACUGGUAUAUUUGGCAUUUAUUGAAACUACCAGUAAACUCCAGUAUUAUUCUUCUUUCGAAAACUUCAACAUUUUUGGUAUGUGGAAGAGUUCCAAACAGUUUGACCUUGCAAUGUGAAUGCUCUGUUAACCACAGCAGUGGCUUCUAGCGGAGCCGCUGAGCAGCUGUCAUGUUUCCCAACAGAACAGGGUGUAACAUUCUUCUGCUCACCAUGUUUAUUUAAUGGCACACUCUAACUCUCAGGGCAUGCAGUCUGCUGAAAACAUCAACCACUAUCAUUGACUGCUGUGUACCCUUUGCUAUAAAGUUACUCUCUUAACAAUAAACAAAUAAAACACACUAUUUUAUACUAUUGGGUCAAAUUAAUUUUAUUAUGCUCCAUGAUGAAUUGCCACCAGUGCAACAUCCUAUUCACUAUACAUUU